CCAACAUACAAAAUCAGCCAACAGAGAACUAAAAUAUGAAGGCCAGGUCAGACAAGACAAACCUGUUUGUGGUAAACUUCAAGAAUGAAAUCUGAGAGCCCUGGUUGUCCCCUUCUCAGAAUAAGGGAGCCUGGACUUUAUCUUCUGAAUUAGUGAGCACGGAGGAGCUGUUGUUACUUGCAUGGAUGUGACUGUGGAGGGAUGGUGCCUUGUUCCUGCUGUCUGUCCCAGAGCAAUGUUUUCUACAGAUUCAAUUUCAGACAUUGUCUGAUGAGUUUCCCAUAAAGAAGAAUUCUUUUCUAGAAUCCUUGCGAAAUACUUAAAUAGUGGCCACCUCAAGGCAUCAAGAUCACGCUGCUCAGGGCCUCAUCCAGCUCGGCCUUGAACACCUCCAGGCAAGAGGCAUCCACAACUUCUCUGAGCAACCUGUGCCAGUAUCUCAUCAACCACACAGUAAAGAAUUUCUUCCUGAUAUCUAAUCUAAACCUUCCCUCUCUCAGUUUAAAAUCCUUGUCCUAUCACUAUACGCCUGUAUAAAAAGUUCCUGUCCCUCAUUUUUAUUAGCUCCCUUAAGGUACUGAAAGGCUGCAAUGAAAUGUCCCCAACACCUUCUCUUCUCCAGGCAGAACAACCCCAGCUCUCUCAGCCUGUCUCCCUAGGAUAUAUGCUCCAGCCCUCCGAUCAUGCCAAUGAUCAUUGCCAUUUAUCUAGACACAAUCCACCAAUAGAAACAUUUUAAAUACUAUUUACAGUUCAGAAAACUAUAGCAUGACACAGAGAUUUUAAUAAGAUUUCAGUCAGGCAACAAAUAUGCAGAAGCUGAAGCAGGGGUGUUGAAUUUAAAAGAAGCCUGAGCAAUUUUGUGCUAUUACCAUGCUGUGGAAAUCUCAGUAAGAUUCAAAUGGUAAAAUAUAUUUUCCAUACAUUAUACAUGCACACACAAUGUGCAAUUUUCCAAAACUUGAGCAUCCACACUUUUCAAGGGAAAAAAAAAUGCACACAUGUUCUGGCUUUACCUAUGGUGAAGCAGAUCCAGACUAUUCACCACAAUAUAUUAAAUCGUGCAGCAAACCUUCCCCGCACUUUGUGGCAUGCAGAGGAAGUGCUUCCUUUCCUGCCACCUAAGAAGGCUGACACACAGCAUUCAGGGGCACCACACAGACUCCUGUGAGUAAAGAAACGUAACUAUUUACUAAUGCUGUUCUCAGAUGCUGAGGAAGAGGAAAUAAAAGCCAAUUACUGGGGAUAUUAAGCAUCUGGGCAAUGAGAGGUAUGUUUUUCAUCAUCCUAUGUUACAGUUUCUGCUUCAGAACUCCUCUCCUCUGUGGACUGCACAGUUCUUUGCAAACUUUAUUACGGCUCAGAAAACCUUCUCUCUAUGUUAGGCCUUCUGUUAUUUUUCCACCUAAGAUAUAGGGGACUUUUCUAAGGUCACACAAAUGACACUGGUUAAAUUAAAGGUGUUGGUGGCAAACUGAUUGAGUUUAAUAGGUGGAAGACUGCGGCAACCACCAAACAUUUACUGUCUUCUCAGCUUCUCUGUCCUCAGCCAAAAAGCAAAGGGAGCUACUGCAAACAAAAUAAUAGUGUCUACAGCAAAAUCCACAUCAGCUUAACUAGGUAACUUUUGAAAUACCUCAUCUUAAUGAUUUCAACCAAUUACUUCUUUAUUUUAUAUUUCAAAUAGUCUGUUACUUUCCUGACACAUGUAUUGGUAAAGAGUAAAUUAAGGCAACAGCUAUAAAAUUAAAAUUAUAUAUGAUCAGCACAACAUAUUAGUGUUACUACCAGCACUGGAGUUCUCCAAACCAAUAAAGCAUAAAUGUACCAACCCUCUUCCUCCUAUCUUAGCAGUAUACAAGGAGAAGCUCUUCCUAACACCUCUCUAAUUAUAACUGGGUCAUUAAUACAAAGGCUGCAUACGCAUUCACCUGAACUGUAUAUAUAUUAAAGUCUGAUCCAACAUGCACAUAAACAAAUUACUUACCAUAAUGAAUGUAAGACUGAAUGUGGGAGGAACUACAAGUACAUUCAAAUGUUUGGUAGUUAAGACACCCAACAGUAAAGAAAAAGCAUUCCAUUCUCCAAGAGUGUCUAUAUAUUGUUAUGCUACAUCAUCACUGAGAGGUACAAAUCCAGUACACACAAUAAUCAAAUUUCUGGAUCCUUUCCUGUUCCACUUGGACAGCCCCAACCACAAGGCCAGUGUCUGACUGUGUCAGGUUGGGCACUUCUGGAGCCAGUGCUGCUCAGCUCCCACAUGUGUGGGGCAGGUUUUACAGCAAGGGCAGAAAAGAUGGUUUCCCUUCCCCUUUUUGCACCUGUAAAUGCCCAGUAGUCUGCUCUCCAGAGUCAACUUCAAGGCUGGGAAACUGUGGUUUCCAGUCUCCCCGAAGUGUGAUACGUGUGGACUCUUGAGGAACUCACCUCUUGAGGAAGAAUCAUCAUGUUUUCUUCCAUUUAUCCUCAGAAAGAGCUCUGUUCCCAGGAUUCUCAGUAAACCUAAUUUUCAGCUCCAUCCAGGUAGGUAAACUCUACUGAGGUAAGAAAAACUGACAUAGCCUGUUUAUUCAUUUCCCCCCACUGGCUAGCACUGGUGGCUUCCAGCUCAUUAUUUAAAAGUUUUGCAUAAUUUUCACUGCUUCCCUACUCUUGGACUAAAUUCAGAUAAAAGGCUUCCGUCUCCUUCCAAGGUAAAUUCCUUAAUUUGGAGAUUCUGUGGCCUUACCUAGGUCUGUAAUUGUCUGUUUCUUGUGCAGUCAAAUCUAAGUAAAAUAUUAGAAACUAAGAUUAUUUUCAGCAAAGGCCAGAAAUGAGUAGUUGAAUCAGUCAAGGAAUUGAAGUGUGCUAAACUUAUUCGUAUGUUGUGUUAUGCUAGAAAUCAUGUAAGUAUUAUGAUCCACAAAAGAGAAAUUAGAAUGAGAAAGAGUCUGAUGUAAUUACUAAAGAAUAGAUCCGGAGGCACAUUUUUUAAAAAUUUGAUAAAGACUAUCAGCUUUAAAACUUUAAUUACCAGGGAAAUUCAGGUACAUGAACAGAAGAGGAAUGGAAGAGUAUUGUAGGCUUAUACAUGUGGAUAUGUAGUAGCUGGUUUACACUGGCACAGCUUGCUUUUGCUUGAAAGUGAGCCACUGGCACCCGAAAAAGUCAGAGCUGCUUAUAAAAAUAUAUAUUAAAAAAACCGAUAUUCAAAAUGCUUGAGCAAAUCCCUAGGGCAGACAGAGCUAAAGUCUAAAUGUCAGUGCUCUUUUGGAGACAAGAUCAACCUAUAACCUUAUCAGAACACAAAUUAUGUCAGUGAACAACAUCCAAAACCUGCAGAGGCAUUUGAGAGAUUUUUGGCAUUCUAAUUUAUAGAUUUCAGUUGUUGUUUCCUAACUUUCAGGCUGCUCAGAAAAAGACAGUUUUUUCUUUAGUUCAUUUUUUUUUAAUUGGUUACAAAAGUCCUGGAAAUCUAUCACAUUUAUCCUUGUGCAUUUUGAUGAUGCAUAAUACUGAUUAGGAAGUGUCUCAGCUGGUAAUAAGCUCCCUUCAUAAUUUUUUUUUUUCAAAUGCUGUUUUUAUGCAGUUCAUACAGGAAUCCAAUUAGCAUAUCAUUGUGACUGAUUAAAUAUGCCUCAUGUAAAUUUACAUGUCAAAAUACAUACUGUACUUAAACAAACAGACAAGGAUGCCAGUCUUCUGUAAACAGCUUUGCAUUCAUAAGCUAACUCAGGAACACAAAAGCUUAUAUUUAAAUUCUCAAUGACUACCUGAAUAGAGUGAAAGGGAGAUAGAAAGGUAAUGUUACUCAUGCAUGAAGUGAGAGAAUGAAUAUAGACAUUUGUUUCUCUUUGUCUCUGAAGAAAACUAUUGACAAGAGAUUCCCCAUCUGCAUAUGAGGCUGUCACGUCAGAUUAGCUCAUCAGGUAAUGGAAAUUUGGCCUCUGAUCCAGAAAAGGUCCCUAUGCACUAAGAAUCAAGACUGUUUCAAAGAGAUUGUAUUAUCUUAGACAGCAGGAUUAAAUUAAUAUGGGAAUGACUUCUACUGGAGGAAAUUUUUUGUUAAACGUGUUAAUGUUUAUUAUGCAGAGCAUCCACUUCUCAUAAGUGAUCUUUCUUGACAUUUAUUCAUUACUUUUUGACCUUCCCUGCAACUGAAAAACAAACAAGUAAGUGGACCCCCUCCGAAGCAUGGAGCCAAGACCUCUAAAGAUGCAUUCAUGCUAGCACAACCUACGAAACAGUGGAAGAAACUAUGCUGUUGUCAGAUAUGAUCCCCCAAAAGUGGAAAAAAUUCUUGGGGUCAUUCAAUAAGGACUGAACUCAUAGGUGGAUGUUGUAGCUACUCUCCUUAACCAGCAAAGAGAAGAAUUCAGUUUCAAUUCUUUUCUCAAUGAAUAGUUCACUAAUUUACAUUAAAUAUAUGACAAAAGGAAGAACUUGGAGAUGAUUCAGAUGACUCAUCAGACUGCUACAGUGCAGUGUUCCCUUUGCUCUCACGUGCUUCAGGUCAGUGAAUGUUCAAUUAUUCCAUGCAAAGCCUAACAGCUGCUGCAGGAGGGGUUGAAAAUCUCCUCCCAGGACUUUACUAGCAUUGUGAUUAAAGGUAUAGGUUCAAACCUGCAAAGGCACAGCAAAACAGUCAAUUCAUAUAUUCAUCCUGACCAAGUGCAUUUCUGAUAACAGACUGAGAUUUCAUCCAUAGAAAUGAAUCAGGAAGAACUGAUUAUAUAGAUUUGCAUCGUUGUUUGUAGUACAGCCCAGAGGGAAUAAACACACCAGGAGGAGUAUCAAGUAGUUGUAGAGCAAAGGUAUGUGUGUAUGACUAGAUAUAUUCAACAAACAAUUCAAGUGGAAGUCCAGUGUUUUUGAUGGAAAUCAGAUGAGGCUACCACUGAGCAUGGCAGGAAAAAAAAGGCCACCUUAGCCCUGACUUUAAUGAUGUCUCACAUGUAAAUAAAAUGUGGUUAAUUUGAUCCCUCUAUCUCCUUCUGAUUUCACACAAACCAGAACAGGGAAGGGAAGAACAAAGCAUAGCAUGGAGAUAUUUUCUGCACAGCAAAGGUGUGUCUCCUAAGGGUGAGAUAAUCUAUCCAACUGCAUGUACUUAUUACUUCAUCUUAUGUGUAUUGUAGCACAGAGAGAUGAACUACAUAAAUCACAUGAGAGUCUGAAAUAAGAAAUGUAAUUGAGAGGCAUUUCAAAAUAAAUGUAGGAGGUUGAAAUAGUGAAAUAAUAGAAAUAUCUGGACAAUAAAAUGACAUCUUGAUAUUGAAAUUACAAAAAGCACAGGUCUCAUACAGUACAAAAUAAUUUAUAUGUGUCUGUGGUUGUUAUUGAUUCCAUAUACUGUUUCUGUUACUUCAUUUAAUAUAUAUUUUAAAAUUAGAACAGAUUUCUGCAUUUUCCAGUAUCUAAAAUCAGCAAUUUAGAAAGUUUCUUUGACAUAUUUAAUAUUGAAAUAAUUAAAUUCUGUUUAUUUUUUAACCCAAAUGUGCUAAAAUGUUUUUAACAAUUUUCAAUCUACAUCACAAGCUUCAGUCUAUACUAAAAAGAAUCUGAAUUGUGAAUCUACUAAAACAAGUUGAAAACAGAAAUUGUUUAGCUCUAACCGCUGUAGAAGGGAUAAUGUUAUAACACUAAUAGUAAUAAGUGAAGUAAAAUUUUCAAAUACUAUGGCAAGAAGAAAACUGUUAUUUUAGUAGACUCAAAUCAGCUACUUAUCCAUUUAUUUCAUCUUUGCUGGAAACCAGGUACAGAUGCUUAAUAAAAGUACAAACCAUUAUUACUGGAAAAUCACAGGGAAAAAAAAUCACCUGAAGAAAACUUUUUGCUUUUUUAACUUCCUAAAAUUUAAGGAUAUUCCUUUAUGAAACUUCAUCACUAUUUAAUAUCAAGCAACUAUCAAUGUUUUCAUUAUUGACAGAAAGCCAUAAAUGAGCUCUUAUUGAGAUAAUUAUUUUCAUUCUCUCAGCCUUGUUUAACUUGCAAUCUGAAAUGUGUCUCUCACAGUUUGUGCAGAAAAGUCAAGGAACACUAAUACACAUAAUAAACACUUAAUAAACAUAGCCAGCAUUUUUGGUGCUUAUAACUGAGAAGCAUUAAAGUGCCAGGGCAUCAGAUUCAGAGGAAGGUAUGGGUGGAAUUCAGUUCUGAAAUUAAGGCAUCUAAACCUAAAUGUCUGCAGAGACAUGCUGAUAUAUCAGCUGGUUGCAUAAGCUCCCAAUGUAGUUAAUAAAGGCCAGAAAAAUGAUGGAAUAUAUCAGUAAAUAUCCUUAAUAAAAACAGAUUUUGUUUUUGUUUAUUGAGGGAAAAAUUCCACUAUUACGUAUACAUGCUGUGAAAAAGAAGCAUAAAUAGACAAUUUUCUAGAGGGGUUUACUCUUUCACAAUAGUGUGCAAUUGCACAACAUAUGGAUAAAAGAGAUGUCAUUUCAGUUUAUCUACAAUCAUGAUUUAGCUUACUGUCUGUAAAAGAGAAAUUUAAAAAAACCCACUUCAUUGGAGAAAAACAUCUUUCACUUGUUAAUAAAGCUGUAUAAGUUGUAUAAGAUUUAACUCAGUGCCAUAAGAGUCAUACUAUGUAGUUUUCAGAGAACGUAUAAAUUUUUCAGCUGGUGACUUUCAGACUCCAUUUGCCUGUAAUAGGGAGAUGAUUCAGUCACAAUUCAACCAACAAUGCAUGUAAUAUUGUCUCUAUUAAAGCUGAGAAAAAGCACAAGAAAAUACUAAAAAAUUGAAAAUCACAUUGAGUAAAAGCAACAAAUAUCACAUCUGCGAUU